rnacentral:rRNA from 1 species
GUCGAGCGGCAGCACGGGUACUUGUACCUGGUGGCGAGCGGCGGACGGGUGAGUAAUGCCUAGGAAUCUGCCUGGUAGUGGGGGAUAACGCUCGGAAACGGACGCUAAUACCGCAUACGUCCUACGGGAGAAAGCAGGGGACCUUCGGGCCUUGCGCUAUCAGAUGAGCCUAGGUCGGAUUAGCUAGUUGGUGAGGUAAUGGCUCACCAAGGCGACGAUCCGUAACUGGUCUGAGAGGAUGAUCAGUCACACUGGAACUGAGACACGGUCCAGACUCCUACGGGAGGCAGCAGUGGGGAAUAUUGGACAAUGGGCGAAAGCCUGAUCCAGCCAUGCCGCGUGUGUGAAGAAGGUCUUCGGAUUGUAAAGCACUUUAAGUUGGGAGGAAGGGCAUUUACCUAAUACGUAAGUGUUUUGACGUUACCGACAGAAUAAGCACCGGCUAACUCUGUGCCAGCAGCCGCGGUAAUACAGAGGGUGCAAGCGUUAAUCGGAAUUACUGGGCGUAAAGCGCGCGU